rnacentral:rRNA from 1 species
ACAGCAGUAGCCGCGGUAAUACGGAGGGUGCAAGCGUUAAUCGGAAUUACUGGGCGUAAAGCGCACGCAGGCGGUCUGACAAGUCAGAUGUGAAAUCCCCGGGCUUAACCUGGGAACUGCAUUUGAAACUGUCAGGCUGGAGUCUUGUAGAGGGGGGUGGAAUUCCAGGUGUAGCGGUGAAAUGCGUAGAGAUCUGGAGGAAUACCGGUGGCGAAGGCGGCCCCCUGGACAAAGACUGACGCUCAGGUGCGAAAGCGUGGGGAGCAAACAGGAUUAGAUACCCGGGUAGUCCCUGUCUCUUAUAC